GACGAACGCUGGCGGCGUGCCUAACACAUGCAAGUCGAGCGAACAGACGAGGCGUUUGUUGUUCGGACGUUAGCGGCGGACGGGUGUGUAACACGUGUAUCCCGUACCUAUAAGAGUGGGAUCAUCACGAGAAUGCGGCGAUAAUACCGGAGAAUAUAUUGCACCAUAGUGGUCGUUAGUGAGAUUCGGCUGUUCUGUCAGUUCUCGCUGGAUCCGAGCCGCAUUAGAUGGUUGGUAAGUUAACGGGUUACCACGGCGACGAUGCGUAGGCGAGCUGAGAGGGUGGUCGGCCACACGGGAAGUGGGACACGGUCCAGACGCCUGCGGGAGGCAGCAGUAGGGUAUCUUCCGCAAUGGGCGGAAGCCUGACGGAGCAGCGCCGCGUGAGUGAUGAAGGUCUUCGGAUUGUGAAACUCUGUUAUUAGGGAAGAACAAAUGUGUAAGUAACUAUGCACGUCUUGACGGUACCUAGUCAGAAAGCCACGGCUAACUACGUG
rnacentral:rRNA from 1 species